rnacentral:rRNA from 1 species
AACGAACGCUGGCGGCAUGCCUAACACAUGCAAGUCGAACGAAGGCUUCGGCCUUAGUGGCGCACGGGUGCGUAACGCGUGGGAAUCUGCCCUUAGGUUCGGAAUAACAGUUAGAAAUGACUGCUAAUACCGGAUGAUGACGUAAGUCCAAAGAUUUAUCGCCUGAGGAUGGGCCCGCGUAGGAUUAGCUAGUUGGUGUGGUAAAGGCGCACCAAGGCGACGAUCCUUAGCUGGUCUGAGAGGAUGAUCAGCCACACUGGGACUGAGACACGGCCCAGACUCCUACGGGAGGCAGCAGUGGGGAAUAUUGGACAAUGGGCGCAAGCCUGAUCCAGCAAUGCCGCGUGAGUGAUGAAGGCCUUAGGGUUGUAAAGCUCUUUUACCCGUGAUGAUAAUGACAGUAGCGGGAGAAUAAGCCCCGGCUAACUCCGUG